UUUCAUCAGAAGGAAUAUAUUUUAUUUUGGCAAAUCUCACAGGAUGUUUUAAUAACAAUAUGAACAAAAUACACAAACCGUCUUAAUCAAAAUCAUUUGAUGUAAGCUAAUUAAAAGUGAUGUUAAAAGUAGUAGAUGUUAUAUACUUUGGUUUAAUUCCACUGACCUUCCCUUUUAAGGGCAUCUCUAUAAAAUUCUUGGUUCUUUAUUCAUGUUCAUAUGCUGCAUUUGACUCAUUGUCUUCAGCAUCUCAUUGGAGGAGAAUGUGAUACCUUGCGUCUUCAUUGGAACUGAUUUCUAGUCUGGAACUUCAGUGUUCGUCACCACAAAGCUAGGAAAUGCUUGAUUUAGUUCCUUGAGAUAUGGAAGAGUCAUGUUCUUUAUGAGAGAUGGAUUCUUCACUAUGAAUUCCUUCCAUUCUUCUUGAUCAAUUUUUCCAUCUCCUUUUGAAUCUGCUUCAACCAUUGUCUUAUCUACAAUGGAUUGAACAUCAUCAUUGGAAAGUGUCAUAUCUGAUUCACUCAAAAUAGCCAAUACCAUCUCCUUCAACUUCCAGUAUGACAGAAAUUCACAAAAUGGUUGAAAAUUAGAUUUGCAAAUAUUAAAUAAUCAUACAACAGUUAUUUCAUAAUAAUGCAAAUAAGAAAAAAAAAACAUGAUUUAGACACUACUCCCACCCAGAAGAGUAGAUUAUAUCACAAGACUAAGAGAUUUAAAGAAAAAUAAUAGCAAAUAAUCUUUCAAAGUUUUUCAGAAGUUUUGUGAUAAUGACUGACAGCUAAAAUUUGUCUUUUCUUCCCUUCACAACUUAUUGAUAUUGGCAUUUAACUGAUCUGACAAUCAGGCUAGGGAGUAUUGUGGUGUGCCAAGUUGGACAUCACUGUUUUACUUCCAUCUUUUUCCUCUGGUCUCAUUGUUUAUUUAAUUUAUCCAUGUAUCAAUGCUUUCUAUGAUGACAAUGAUUUCAGAUAAACAAUCUGGGAAGUUUCAAGCAAGAAUGAUCAACUAUCCCCAUGCAUUCACAAUAGGAUGCUUCAGUUUUGCUAUCAAAACUAUCACAAUAUUAAGUGCUCUUUUGUGAUACUCUUGAAUAUACAAGGAAAAAGGGGAUUGAUUUUUACCUCAUUACGCUCAAUAAAGCCAGUUUUCCGUAGAUCAUACAAUCUAAAUGCAACUGAAAGAAGAAUUUUUUUUUGGCAGUUUAGUGGUCAUAGAUGUGUUGAUACAACGCAUAAAGUUCCAUCUCACUAUCAAAAGUAACAUACAACAAAGAAGAAAUACAUGCAUGAAUACAACAUACAUAUAAUUUUGUCAGCUUCAGAAGCAUUUGGGUGGAAGAUGCUUAAUGACCGUACAAAUUCUCCAAAUUCAAUUACCCCAUUACUCUUGACAUCAAACAGAUCAAACAUCCUGUCUGCAAAAAGAUUCUGCUUACUGCUAUUUCUAAAAAGUGCAAGUCGGAAUUCUUCCUCUCCAGACUCCAGCUCUCAUAAGGAUAAAUAGCACACAUGGUGAGCCCAAAUGGUGGUACCUUGUGAACUAGACCAUCAUCAAUUAUGGCACUACUCAGCUUCUUGAAUAGAUCAUACAAAGCCUCUAUUUCAUUGACAGAAAACGGUGUCUCAGAAGCAAGCAUGAUAGGAUCCUCAUACCCUGGAUGUUUUCUUGAUCGCUUCAAGCUAAAGCAGCAUUUGAAAGCACGCAUUUUAACACACAAUUAUGUGCAAAAGGAAGCACAAGGAGUUUAUGCCAACCUGUUUUCAGACGGAUAUCCUGGAUAGCGUUCUUGAAGCUAUGAAGAGUUGUUCAUUUUCACUUCCCCAACCAUACAACAGAGCUUUUCUAUUCUUCUCCCCCUGGUAGCCCUUGGGAAGACAAUUAAUUUACGGUAAAUUAUAA
rnacentral:misc_RNA from 1 species